UACGUAGGGUGCAAGCGUUAAUCGGAAUUACUGGGCGUAAAGCGUACGCAGGCGGCUAUGUAAGACAGGUGUGAAAUCCCCGGGCCUAACCUGGGAACUGCAUUUGUGACUGCAUAGCUAGAGUCCGUCAGAGGGGGGUGGAAUUCCUGGUGUAGCGGUGGAAUGCGCAGAUAUCAGGAGGAACACCAAUAGCGAAGGCAGCUCGCUGGGACGGUACUGACGCUAAGGCGCGAAAGCGUGGGGAGCGAACAGG
rnacentral:rRNA from 1 species